AGGCUGGCUCCCUCCUCCAGUCUCCUGCAGAAGAGGCGGGAGGACAUGGAGGUCCACAAAGCUAUGAAACGGCAAAGAGAGGAUUUUGAGUCAACUCUCAGGGCCCUGAGAAUCCGCAAGAAUGAGCUCAUAGAGAAAUUUGCUGAAAUUUGACAACUUUCUUAGGGACAACGAGGUGAAACGAUGUUGAGCUGUUAGGAAAGCCGGCCGAGAGAGGGAAAUGACUAAUCAGAAGCAGGUGGACAUGGUCACUCUACAGGAGGAUACAAAAGCUAUCAUCAAAGAGAGGGACUGUCUAGGGAAACGAGUGCAAAAGAAUGCCAUCUACCCCCAUUACCUGAAUAAAGUGGUACAGGAUCUUAGGUCUAUACAAGUGCUUAGGCCGUAUGGGCUAGGGGUUGAUUUUUUCUCUCUAAGUUUCAGGAGGCCCGACAGGUGAUGUCUCGCUACGACACGUUGAUGCUGACCCAGGAAGACCUGGUGCCCACUACCCAGCAGAACCAGGACAGCACAGAGAAGGCCCGAGCCCAGCUGACCCCCUGCUGCACUACAACACUCUGGCCCAGCUACAGAGCCAGCUGGACAAGGCCCACGCUGAGGGCAUCAUCUGGGAAUCAAGAUGGGCCCACAUUAAGAACACAGCUGCCAAGAAGACACUUCUGUUGUGCACAAUCAAGAUUGCCACUAUCAAUCUUUACCAGAGUGUGUGCAAGAGGGCCAAAGACACUGGGGAUUUACCUGUUGCUCCAGAGGACCCUCCUAAGCAGCUGGAGAAGAUGCCAUAGGCUACUGUGCUGCUGUAAACGCAUGACUCAGCAUUACUCUGUUUGUGCAAAGUUGAGGGGCUCUAGACUCGAAUGCUCAUAAUAUUUACGUAAGAGGAAAGGACCGAGGACACAGAUGGUUAUUGUAUCGUGUGAAACACUUUGACUUCCUGAUGUUGCCGGAUUCUCUCGGGUGUUUACAGAACAUUGGUGCUGUGACAUUAGGAUUUCAGAGCCUGUUUAAAGAAAGCAAUUGUAGCAAUAGAGCAAAGGAUUACAAAGUAUGAAAAGAAACUAGUGGCUGCAGUAUUGCCGGCAACAUUGAUGAUGAUUAGGAGUAUAUGCUGCAUGGGCUGUUAAGGCAUAAGUGUAUGAAGUGUGUAUUCUUAUUUUAUAUUUAUGUAAUUAAUUAAUUGAGCUGUUCUUGUCUAUUAAUGUUCUGUAUUAUGUCAUGUUUUAUGUUUUGUGUGGA